GAUGAACGCUGGCGGCGUGCCUAAUACAUGCAAGUCGAGCGAACUGAUUAGAAGCUUGCUUCUAUGACGUUAGCGGCGGACGGGUGAGUAACACGUGGGCAACCUGCCUGUAAGACUGGGAUAACUUCGGGAAACCGAAGCUAAUACCGGAUAGGAUCUUCUCCUUCAUGGGAGAUGAUUGAAAGAUGGUUUCGGCUAUCACUUACAGAUGGGCCCGCGGUGCAUUAGCUAGUUGGUGAGGUAACGGCUCACCAAGGCAACGAUGCAUAGCCGACCUGAGGGGGUGAUCGGCCACCCUGGGACUGAGACACGGCCCAGACGCCUACGGGAGGCAGCAGUAGGGAAUCUUCCGCAAUGGACGAAAGUCUGACGGAGCAACGCCGCGUGAGUGGUGAAGGCUUUCGGGUCGUAAAACUCUGUUGUUAGGGAAGAACAAGUACGAGAGUAACUGCUCGUACCUUGACGGUACCUAACCAGAAAGCCACGGCUAACUACGUGCCAGCCGCCGCGGUAAGAC
rnacentral:rRNA from 1 species